CUUGUCUUCCAGUAAACCAAAGCGUUGCCAUGGUGACGUCUCUGUCAGACAUGUUUGUUCAGACAUGCUUCACGUUCACCAGCAUUGAACUGAUGGAUGGUGGAAGGACAGGACUAAAUCGACCAGAAAUCUCUUCAGCCGACAUUAUGGUCCACAUCUUGAAGCACUUCCAACACCAUCUUUUCUUUUUGCGUCUUUGUUGGAAACAAAGCCUGCUGUCCUGUGUGAAGCAAAAGUCUCAACCCAGAUCUAUGACUGUUGAAGGUUCUUCUAAGAACGAUUGUGGUGAAUUAGCCAUGGCUAUAAACACUGAUGCAGGCAUCAUGUGGCCCUUAACCUGUUUUCUGUGUCUGUCUCUAUCAAAUACAUACAAUUAAAUAUUUAGAUGCA